UGAAGUCCUCAUUCGAAACAUGAAAUUUGAAAAUAGAAAGAUUGAGAAAUCAUGAGAAAAUUUCAUCGUUUCUAUAAUUUUUGUAUUUAUGUAUUACCAACAUUAUGUCUUUUAAUAAUGUUUUUCAUGUACAUAAGACAGAGACGCUUUUACGAGAAAAAAUUAAAGUCAAUAGGAGGUUUAUUUCAGUUGGAUUUCUCUGCAGUAGACAUAAAAGAGUUAGAAAAAAACUUGACAUUUGUUCAGAAAGGUGGUUGGUACCAACCUACAAAUUGUACAUGUCAUCAUGAUAAGAAGGUGGCUAUCAUAAUUCCUUAUCGCAAUCGCUAUAAACAUCUUGGUGUGUUCUUACGAUAUAUGCAUCCAUUUCUCAAGAAACAAGAAUUUCAUUAUAGAAUUUUUAUAAUAGAACAGGCAGACAAAAAACUUUUUAACAGAGCAAAAUUACUCAAUAUUGGUUUUACAGAAGCUAGCAAAGUUGACAAUUUCAACUGUUACAUAUUUCACGAUAUUGACCUUCUACCCUUGAGUGGAGGGAACGAAUAUUUCUGUCCAACGUCACCAAGACACAUGUCUGUCGCAGUUGACACUAUGGACUUUGGUAUUCCGUAUGAGGGAAUCUUUGGUGGAGUGUCUGCUGUUACUGCAGAACAUUUUAAAGCAGUGAAUGGUUAUCCUAACAGAUAUUGGGGCUGGGGUGGUGAGGAUGAUGACCUUAGUGAGAGACUUCAUGCGGCUGGCCACAGGAUAACGAGUCCAUCGUCUAUCAAUGGUAUUUAUACGAUGAUGUAUCAUUCGCACGCGAUUUCAGAAGAAUUCCCAGACAGGUACAACACUCUGAGAAAGUGGAAAGAUUUUAAAGACACUGACGGACUAAACUCUCUCAAAUACGAAGUUUUAAAAAGGACAGACGAGCAGCUGUAUACGAUCAUCUCUUGCAAUAUUUAGUUAGGAAAUCGUAGCAUAUUUCACGGUAGGAUGAAAUUGCUUAUUUCUUAAGUGUUUUGAGAUCAAUGUGUUCAAAAAUCCUGUGUGACAUGAUAACUCGUGAACUCAUAAUAUGGAAUAUCACAUGAAAAUCAUGGAAAAUCAUCGAGUUCACUCUUGACAUUUGAUAUUUGGAGCUUGUUUUAUAUUUCAUCAAAUGCUUAGCUACAGUCGUGGAGAAACAUUUGAUGAGAUUAUGUUUUUCAAAAUAUCGAGAAUGUCAUCUUCUCUGGCAUUAUAAGUAUCACAUGUGUUCCACGAGGACGCGUUAAUCUUUUAUCAUAAAACCUCUAUUUAUAUUAUAAAAACCCGCCGAGCAGCUGGUUAAACUUCAAUGUAAUUUUCAACAGACAAAGAAAGCUUUUAUUUCAUUAAUUAUACAUGAAUACAAAUUGUGCGGUUAUGCAACGUUUCCCGAGCAACGGCGCUGAUGCAACGACAGACAAAAACACUAACAAAAUGAAAUACUGUCUUGGCAACCAUUUGAAAACGAUGAAGAUAUUGACCGACUUGUCGCUCAAAUAUGACGUCUAACAUUGCGAGGUAAUCCUUUCGUGUUCCUGGCAACAAAACAUUCAAAUAUGUUUGUUCUUGGAUUAUUUUUAAUCUUUUGUGGAGUUCUGAAUGCUGCGUCCUUGAGCGGUACGUUUUAACUUUAAUGUUUUGAAAUAAUAAUAUAUAAAUAUGGAUUAUGGUAUUUCAUUUUUUCAUCUUAUGAAUACAUACUGUCACGUUUCACGAUGAGCAAUUUGGAAGAAAAAUCUUUUUUUGCCAUAUCUUUCCUUCGCAUCAGGCACAGCGCUGUCACAUACUGUCAUGUUGACUUUUUUAAACAUCACUUUGGACACAUGGAAAACAGACGCCAAAGAAUCGAUUAUGAAAGAAACGAUAGCAAAUCUUACAACAGAUUAUUGCCAAGGAAAUGCUAAUAAGUGUGAUGUGUCGUCGUCUAGUACCAGCACGCGUUUUAAACCAGAGAAUGUUAAAAUGGUAAGCGGUUAUCCAAAGAACACCCACAAUGAUCUUAAGAUGCUUGUUUUUGUGGAACUUCCGGGAUCUUCCGGCAGAAUUUCAGGUGAUGCGUUACUGACAAUCGUGAGGAAUGGGAAAGCAAAUUUGAGCUCAGAAAUUGGUUAUGAAAUUGGAUCAGUCGUCUCAGGAGAGAGUCUUUCUGGUUCGGAAGAGAAAGAAAUUAACCAUAAAUGGAACAAGAUUAUGAUUCCUCUGGCCUUUCUGAUCUUGUUGGCUAUUGCCUUGAUUUGCUGGAUACUGCAUCGUAGAAG